rnacentral:rRNA from 1 species
CCCUUAGAUGUCCUGGGCCGCACGCGCGCUACACUGACAUGUUCAACAAGCCUCCUAGUUCGACAGGAUUUGGGAAAUCUUUGAACGCAUGUCGUGAUAGGGAUAGAUCAUUGCAAUUAUUGAUCUUGAACGAGGAAUUCCUAGUAAACGCGAGUCAUCAGCUCGCAUUGAUUACGUCCCUGCCCUUUGUACACACCGCCCGUCGCACCUACCGAUUGAAUGUUUCGGUGAAGAUUCCGGAUAGGACUUUUUUGAUUUAUUUCAAUUUUGUCUUAAAAGCUAUCUAAACCUCAGCAUUUAGAGGAAGGUGAAGUCGUAACA